GUGUGUUCUGGUGUGGUUAAGAGCUGAAGGUUUGGCGUCCAAGAGUUUAAAAUCACCCAAGUUCUUCAGCCGUUGAUUUAUCGGUUAGACGUGUGUUCAGCUUGAAGCUUAUAGCAACAAAGUUCAUUAAACCUUGAGAAAACCGAUAAACCUUAUAUCCAACCGUUAUGCUUUUGGUUCAGUUGGUA